rnacentral:rRNA from 1 species
AACGAACGCUGGCGGCAUGCCUAACACAUGCAAGUCGAACGAGACCUUCGGGUCUAGUGGCGCACGGGUGCGUAACGCGUGGGAAUCUGCCCUUGGGUUCGGAAUAACAGUUGGAAACGACUGCUAAUACCGGAUGAUGACGUAAGUCCAAAGAUUUAUCGCCCCAGGAUGAGCCCGCGUAGGAUUAGCUAGUUGGUGAGGUAAAGGCUCACCAAGGCGACGAUCCUUAGCUGGUCUGAGAGGAUGAUCAGCCACACUGGGACUGAGACACGGCCCAGACUCCUACGGGAGGCAGCAGUGGGGAAUAUUGGACAAUGGGCGAAAGCCUGAUCCAGCAAUGCCGCGUGAGUGAUGAAGGCCUUAGGGUUGUAAAGCUCUUUUACCCGGGAUGAUAAUGACAGUACCGGGAGAAUAAGCUCCGGCUAACUACGUG